rnacentral:rRNA from 1 species
GACGUAGGGCGCAAGCGUUGUCCGGAAUUAUUGGGCGUAAAGAGCUCGUAGGCGGUGUGUCACGUCGGCCGUGAAAACCUGCAGCUUAACUGUGGGCGUGCGGUCGAUACGGGCAUCACUGGAGUUCGGCAGGGGAGACUGGAAUUCCUGGUGUAGCGGUGAAAUGCGCAGAUAUCAGGAAGAACACCCGUGGCGAAGGCGGCUCUCUGGGACGGUACUGACGCUGAGGCGCGAAAGCGUGGGGAGCGAACAGG